AAAGUACUCCCUCCGUCCCAAAAUUCUUGUCUUAGAUUUUUCUAGAUACAGAUGUAUCAAGUCACAUUUUAGUAUUAGGUACAUCCGUAUCUAGACAAAUCUAAGACAAGAAAUUUGGGACAGAGGGAGUAGUUG
rnacentral:pre_miRNA from 1 species